CCCUUAGAUGUCCUGGGCCGCACGCGCGUUACACUGAUGCAUUCAACGAGCUUAUAACCUUGGCCGAGAGGCCUGGGCAAUCUUGUUAACGUGCAUCGUGAUAGGGAUAGAUUAUUGAAAUUAUUAAUCUUGAACGAGGAAUUCCUAGUAAACGCAGAUCAUCAAUCUGCAUUGAUUACGUCCCUGCCCUUUGUACACACCGCCCGUCGCACCUACCGAUUGGGUGGUCCGGUGAAGCCUCGGGAUUGUGGUUCUUGCCGCUUUAUUGUGGCGUGACCGCGAGAACUUGUCUAAACCUUAUCAUCUAGAGGAAGGUGAAGUCGUAACA
rnacentral:rRNA from 1 species